rnacentral:rRNA from 1 species
CGAACGCUGGCGGCGCGCCUAACACAUGCAAGUCGAACGAGCGAGAGAGAGUUUACUUUUUCGAGCGAGUGGCGAACGGGUGAGUAACGCGUGAGGAACCUGCCUCAAAGAGGGGGACAACAGUUGGAAACGACUGCUAAUACCGCAUAAGCCCACGACCCGGCAUCGGGUAGAGGGAAAAGGAGCAAUCCGCUUUGAGAUGGCCUCGCGUCCGAUUAGCUAGUUGGUGAGGUAAUGGCCCACCAAGGCGACGAUCGGUAGCCGGACUGAGAGGUUGAACGGCCACAUUGGGACUGAGACACGGCCCAGACUCCUACGGGAGGCAGCAGUGGGGAAUAUUGCACAAUGGGGGAAACCCUGAUGCAGCGACGCCGCGUGGAGGAAGAAGGUCUUCGGAUUGUAAACUCCUGUUGUUGAGGAAGAUAAUGACGGUACUCAACAAGGAAGUGACGGCUAACUACGUGCCAGCAGCCGCGGUAAAACGUAGGUCACAAGCGUUGUCCGGAAUUACUGGGUGUAAAGGGAGCGCAGGCGGGAAGACAAGUUGGAAGUGAAAUCCAUGGGCUCAACCCAUGAACUGCUUUCAAAACUGUUUUUCUUGAGUAGUGCAGAGGUAGGCGGAAUUCCCGGUGUAGCGGUGGAAUGCGUAGAUAUCGGGAGGAACACCAGUGGCGAAGGCGGCC